rnacentral:rRNA from 1 species
UGGGGAAUUUUGCACAAUGGGCGCAAGCCUGAUGCAGCGACGCCGCGUGAGGGAUGAAGGCCUUCGGGUUGUAAACCUUUUUCGCUCAUGGUCAAGCCGCAGCUUUGGGUUGUGGUGAGGGUAGUGGGUAAAGAAGCGCCGGCUAACUACGUGCCAGCAGCCGCGGUAAUACGUAGGGGGCAAGCGUUAUCCGGAUUCAUUGGGCGUAAAGCGCGCGUAGGCGGUUUGUUAGGUCAGGAGUUAAAUCUGGGGGCUCAACCCCUAUCCGCUCCUGAUACCGGCAGGCUUGAGUCUGGUAGGGGAAGGCGGAAUUCCAAGUGUAGCGGUGAAAUGCGUAGAUAUUGGGAGGAACACCAGUAGCGAAGGCGGCUUUCUGGACUGCAACUGACACUGAGGCACGAAAGCGUGGGUAGCAAACAGG